GGGCAUCUAAAAUAUGACUUCAGAAAUUAUGUAAUCAUAAGAACAUGAUAUGUUUCCUUCCUUUCUUGCUGGAUUUUAUGUUCUGAUUUGGUUGUUCUCCUAAAAUGCGUGUUAUGAGAGAUUAAACAAUUUUUUUGCAAGAAUUUAGAAAGAUGUUAAAAAUCUAAAGCAAAAAGUCUUAACUAUCUCCCAGCUGGGAGAAAAUGCUUUAACAUUACUAUAAUAAUAUUCCAGGUUUGGAGUG
rnacentral:lncRNA from 1 species